AUAAAAAUUGAUCCUUUAACUAAAGAAUCUCGAGGGUUUGCUUUUAUUCGCUUUAAGAAUGAAGCCGCUGCUCAAAAGGUGCUUAAAGUUGACCAUAGUAUUCUUGGUAGGAGGUGUGAAGUACGACUUCCAAAAAAAAAGGAAAAUAAGCGUGUAAAGCUUUUUAUUGGACGUUUACCAGCUGAUACAAGUGAAGAUGAUUUACGCAAGUAUUUCAGUGAUUAUGGUGAGCUUACUGAUGUCUACCUACCAACUCCAUUUCGUGGGUUUGGUUUUGUUACCUAUGCUCAAGCAGAUGAUGCACAAAUUGUUCUUCAUAAAUCACAUUCUUUAAAAGGUAGCAGGAUGAAUGUCACCAUUGCUGAACCAAAAGGUGAAACAAGAAGAGAUUUUGGUCGCAGAGAAAGUAGUGGACGCAGUUCUAGACAAACAUUUGACUUUGAAGACAUGCGCCGGCUUAUGUACAACAAUACCAGAGGUUAUUCAUCCGCCUUAACUAAUGGCUUUUUAUCUAAUGAAAAUUAUGGUUAUGGAAAAUCUCGAACUGUUGAACCUAAAGAAGCUGUUACUUUUAUCCCUGAUGCAGCUCUUCAACAAGCAACUUCACGAAAUUUCUGGGCACCUGAAAGUGAAAAAUAAGUAACAAAAUAGAUUUGCUUCUAUGACAACAAACUAUUCCUGCUUUAAUUAUUGCAUAUUUCAAAUCAAUUGUUCAGUAUAUGACAACAGAUGUGCUACACAUGAUGUGUUACACGCAAUGCUAGUAAAAUCAGUUUUUAACAAAAAUCAUUAUGAUUGGAGAACAUCAAAUCAAGCUGUUGCAAACGUUAAAAGUUACUACUCCAACAUUUAAUUGAUGAAAAUUUUUAUUUUGCUAGAUUGUUUGUGUAUUAUGAAUUUUAAUGUAACUUAUUACUUUAUCCAUACCUUAGAUCAAAAUAUUUUGACUACAAGUG
rnacentral:misc_RNA from 1 species